GAAAGGGUAGUCUAGUGGGUUGUGGUUGUUGUUAAGAACAAGAGGUCGCGGGUUCCAAACCCGGCCUCUUAUA
rnacentral:tRNA from 1 species